ACCAAUACAAGGCAUACGGCUCAUUAACGCGUAUGCAACCUAACCUAUGGACGGGGAAUAACCUCGGGAAACUGAGAAUAAUGCCCGAUAUAACAUUAUGCCUGGGAUGGUUUAUGUUCCAAAUGAUUUAUCGCCGUAAGAUGGGACUGCGGCCUAUCAGUUUGUUGGGGAGGGAAUGGCCCCCCAAGACUAUUACCGGUACGGGCUCUGAGAGGAGUAACCCGGAAAUGGGUACUGAAACACCGACCCCGGACCUAUGGGGCGCAACAGGGGAGAAAACUUUGCAAUGGGCGAAAGCCCGACAAGGUUAAUCCCAGUGGUUUCUGCUAAAAAAACCUUUUGUCAUUCCUAUAAACACUGAUGAAUAAGGGGUGGGCAAGUUCUGGUGUCCGCCGCCCCGGUAAAACCAGCACCUCAAGUGGUCAGGAUGAUUAUUGGGCCUAAAGCAUCCGUAGCCGGGUCUGUAAGUUUUCGGUUAAAUCUGUACGCUCAACGUACAGGCUGCCGGGAAUACUGCAGAGCUAGGGAGUGGGAGAGGUAGACGGUACUCGGUAGGAAGGGGUAAAAUCCUUUGAUCUAUUGAUGACCACCUGUGGCGAAGGCGGUCUACCAGAACACGUCCGACGGUGAGGGAUGAAAGCUCGAGGAGCAAACCGGAUUAUAUAUCCGAGUAGUCCCAUCUGUAAACUAUGCA
rnacentral:rRNA from 1 species